CCGUUGUCUAUGGACUCUCAUGGAGAUUCGACCAGGAAGGACUCCCAGCGGACUUGAUCAAGAGGUAACCAAAGCAGGAAAAAACCAAUAAAGAUCGAGUUUUGUUCUAACGAAAAACUGCUAUGAUCAGGAAAAUGGCUGUUCCGGAUCCAAACGCAAAGCACGGACUGGAACUUAUCAUCAAGGACUACCCCUACGCGGUCGACGGCCUCAACAUCUGGGACGCUAUCAAAAACUGGGUGACGGACUACACGGACAUCUUCUACAAGGAGGACGCGUCAGUAGCGGCGGACACCGAGCUCCAGAGCUGGUGGCACGAGAUCCGCUACGUCGGUCACGCAGACAAGAAGGACGCCGACUGGUGGCUCAAGCUCGACUCCAAGAAGAACCUGGUAGAGUUGCUUACCACGGUGAUCUGGUUGGCCUCGGCACACCACGCCGCCGUCAACUUCGGACAGUACGCUUACGCCGGCUACCCGGCAAACCGCCCGACCAUCGCGCACCGCUUCGUCCCGGAGCCCGGCACCAAGGAGCACGAGGAGUUCCUGCAAAACCCCGAGAAGUUUUAUCUGUCAGCAAUCUCGUCCAGAGUGGAAGCUACAACUGUGAUGACAACGAUAGAGAUCCUGUCAACUCACACGGCAGACGAGGAGUACCUGGGCGAGCGCAAGAGCGAGAACUGGACCGGGGACGCUCGAGUCCUCGCCGCCUUUAGCAACUUCACGGCCGCCAUGCGAGAGGUGGA
rnacentral:lncRNA from 1 species